GNAAUCGGUAGACGCUACGGACUU
rnacentral:tRNA from 1 species